ensembl:snRNA U5 U5 spliceosomal RNA
CUACUCACUACUCUCUAAUUUACCCACCAAUCAGAUCGUAUAAAUCUUUCGCCUUUUACUAAAGAUUUCCAUGGAGAGGAACAUUUAUGAGUUUCUAUUCAAUUUUUUGAGGCUUCACUUUAGUGAGAAA